rnacentral:lncRNA from 1 species
AUCUUGCUGGUAGAAUUAUUAAGGGCCAGGAAAGAUAUGCAUUCUAAAUCUUUAUAGUGCAGCAUUUGCAACUUGCAUGCGUUUUUUUUUAGUUUCAGUUUUAAGGAUCUGCCUUAUGGUUAUUGCUCUUUUCCAAGAUGAUAGAUUUAGUUGUUAUUUAUCUGAUGUUUCCAACAGGAAGCAGCACUCCCCAGGAGUAACUAUGAAGAAAAAGUUUACAUUAACAUCCACACGACUGUUUGGGCUUAUACUGGAAUGAUAACCAAUGGGGCUAUAAGUGCUGCAAGCAGACAAUUCGUAAUAGCUAUUGCACUGGUGCUGCUGGAAUUUUUUGUUGGUGUCAUUCUUUGUGUCUUAUUGUACACCCUGUGGAUUUAAUCAUAUUUUUGUGCCAAUAACUUUGUUGACCUAAUUAAUUACCAAGGUCUAUAUAUAUAUAUAUAUAUAUAUAUAUAUAUAUAUAUAUAUAUAUAUAUAUAUUUAAUUAUACUUGAAUGUUGAAAGUACGGACCCUUGAUAUUAGUGUUACAUGCCCCCUGACAUUAGUUGUUUGGGCUUGAAGUGUGGACAAAAGCUCAUUUUAUUUUACAUGCAUGUGUUGUUUCGUAUUUUUGUUUUUGUUCUGCAUCACACAACCAGAUGAAAUUGCAUAGAAGAAUUAGAUUCUAGAUUCGGGUUUUGAGCUUUUGUAACCAAUCAAACAGAAUAUUAGAUCUGGUCUUAGAAGUUCAUUCCACCUGGAGUUUAUUAUUCAAUACAUUGGUCAUGUGAAGGGAUUUUAAUGAAUUUGGGAUGUUAGCAUCAUUUAGUUCCAUGGAUGUAUAUUGACAUUGUUCUUGAACCACUUCAUUUAGGCUUAGCCAUAUUGUUCUAAUGAUGUGUAGUAUAGGGACUCUGAUCUCUGUUACUCCAAACUAUUUUUGUCGGAAUUGCAAGUACAUUUUAACUAUAUUGCCAUGGGGGGCACCGGUUCUGUAAGGAUUUCUAAGUAUUGAAAAAUCAUGCACACAUUUGAUUUGAAUAAGUAAUUGUCUUUUCGUGCUUUGAUUAUAGGCACUGAGGUAUUAGUUUUUUUAAUCAGUUAUCUUUCAUGUCAUAGUCGUAAAUUAAGAAAAUCAAAGCUUUAAUUUGUUUCUACCAAAACUUUUAAAUUUUAAAAGAAAAACCCUCAAAUAACUUCUGCGUAUCCUUAAAGCUUUUAAGUUCAAACUUGUUAAGUUAAAAAAAAUGGGUUAAACAUAGUUGUCUUAACUCUGUUUUCUAGCUUAAAGCAAUGAGCAUGGGACACAUUUCAGCAAACACAUUAGUAUCUAUCAUGUCUUUACUCCUUAGCAACACAACUUUUUUGGAGGCAAGUUCUUUCGUGCCAAUAACGGAAAGAGAGAAAAAAAUCAUAUCAGAACUCAUGAUAAUGCAUAGUGUAUUUUUGUCUUAUAGAGUUUUAGAAAUAUUAUUCACCUCUUUCUAUUUUCUUUACUAUCUCAAUGAAUGGGAAAAUAACAAACAAAACAAGUUGAUAGAGUAUCCACACAUACUAGUCAUCAACAAGCUAAAAAGAUGUAUACUUGACAGUUAUUACACUACAACUUUACUAAGAUUCUGGACUUUAGCAACUAUAGCAUAGUGAAACAUGUCUUGCUAAAAAUUUCUUGCUAUCAUCUCUUGCUCCGCCAUCUCUUGUCUGAAUCUAGUGAUGAACUCCUCUGCUCGUUCAUCUAUUCCUUGCAUUUGAGGUGAAGCUAAAGCCAAAGAUUCCCACAUGCCAUCUGAUUCUGAAGUGCAAGAUCCACCACCCUUUGUUGUUCCUUCUCCCCCAGAGAGCCUUUCAGUUCGUGGUUUUUGUGCUGUCUGUGGCUUCAAAUGCCCCACCAAGUCACAUGAAGGCUCUCUAAAGAGCUUGUCAAUAUACACAGGUGCAGGCUUCUUGUGGAACCCGAAGAUGAAGCUUCUCACUGUGGCUAAGGCUAAUCUUUUGCGACGAAAACGUUUGGUAGCAAGGAACUUAGGAGGGGCCUUGGUAACCUUUUUAGUGGUGGUUUUUGAAUAAUGCUUUCUGGGUUUCUUCAUGGCUUUGGAUUUGGACCUAUGAAGUUUACCAAGGGUGGAAGUGAUGCUCUUCCAUGCCUUUUUAGCAGGUGGAAGACUUAGCCUUAGCUUUAGGCUUAUGCAGGAUUUCAUUGAUAGGAGAAGAGAGCAAUGCUUCAAAUAGAAGAGGAGGAUAUAGUAAUAGGUGGGUUAAAAGUUAAAGUCAAGUUCAAAUGGAAACUUGGGUCCUUUAUAACAUACAUGGUAGCAUGUGUUAGAUUCUCUUUUUUCUGUGUCAUGUUGUGGAAUAGUAUAUUACUGCAUUCAUAUUUGGUGGUUUUGCUGCGAGGGGUGGCGUAGUUAUUAAGGGCUGAAUAUUGUUGACAAUAAGAGCAUAAAGCUGGAGUAGGUAAAGCCUGCCAAAUUCUCCAGCACCAACAAACUACCUUGCUUAAUUAUUAAGCUGGCAUCAACUUAAGUCUAGAAUCUACCUCUUUUUUUUAUUUUACUCGAUAAUUUGUUAAUGGUUUACACUAUUUGUUUAGUAAGAGACAAGAGUUAGUCUAUUUCAGAAAACAUGUGAUAGGCGUAGUAAUACAUGAAUCAGCUUUUUCUGUUAAAUGAAACUGAGAUAUAUUCUAUGGUUGCGUGGAAUAUUUUCGAGUCCACACCACAAUAUGUACAGAAUAUAAUUGUUGUGACACAGGGUUUGAGAAAUUUGUAUGAAGUUGUAAUCAAGUUAAAAAUCCACUCUAAAAAAAAAAGUUAAAAAUCCCACGAUAUAUUGCACCCUUUGUUCUAGCUACGGUUUUAAUUUCCUUCCUCCCCCUCGUAAUCAUGUGAUGUAUUACUAUGAUAAAAGGCUAAAGUAUUGAUCUAAAUGCGAAUUUCAUUUUUCUUUUUGUUAAAUAUAUUAAAAUGAAUAGUAAAAAAAAGAGUUUUUAAAAAUAAAUUAUAACUAUAUGAUUAUCAAAGGUAAAGUAGUGUUUGAAGAUUGUAAAUAAAAAAUAUUGUCAGUGACAGACUUGCAUACAAAUGAGCAAAUCAAUUAGGCGUAAAACAACUAAAGAUUUAAGUAAGAUUUAGUUUUGGAUCCAGAAUUAAUUUCAUAAUCAACUAAAAUAUCAAAAUUUAUAAAAAUAUCUCACAAUCUCACCAAAAAAUCAAACAUCUUAAUUAUAAUUAUAGUGAUUAAAAAGAAACUAAAGCUUAAGUUUUGAACUUACUAAUAAAGUAAUAAAGAUCAUAUAUGUUAAUAAAAAGAUUUUUAAAAAAAUACUUAAAUUUCACUCAUUGUUUAGUGGAUCUAGAGGGUGGAAAUGCAUGUGAUAAAAUUACAAGUAAAUAUCUUGAAUUUUUAUAUUUUAUCCUAUUUAUUUUUAUAUAUUUGAACGCAUCGAUUCUAAGUUUUUCAUUCUUCUGGCAUGUUUAUUAUUAUUAUUUUAUUUAGCAUUUUGAUUUUAAAAUUAGAUUUUAUAUUUUCUCCAUAUAUAUGAUAUUAGAUUUAUGAUUUUAAAAUUUAUAUCUUUAUCUUUAUAUGUGAUAAUAAUAAUUAUUAAUUUUAAAAUAAAUUAACUGACUCAUUGUCAUGAAUAUGCCGUUAAUUAGUGCUUACUAUUUUAAAUAAUUUGUUGGUAACUAAUUUUUUUGAAAAAACAUAAUUCACUAUAAUAGUAAUUUAUAUCUCUAUUAUUGUUGUAUAACAAUCAUGUAAAUAAUCCAUUCACUACCCACAUCAUCAUCAAUGAAUAUGAUAGUAUUAUUAUAUUUAAUUUUUUUUAAUAAAUUGUGUUUUUAAUUCAUCAUAAAUUUAUUUGAUAUCAACACCUAAUUUGAACAAAUAAAAAAUUAAAAAAAAAAGUGAUUGUUCCCGUCAAAUUUCUUAAUGACAUGACAAAUAAUUAGUAUGCUAACUAGAGUAUUACAUCAUCAAUUAGCAUUGUUAAUCGAUAAAAAAAAAGGAUUAAAACUGUUAAAAAAAAAAGCAUAGGACCGAAAAUGUUUUAAAAAUUCAAUGACUAAAGGUGAAAUUUGAAAAAAAAAAUAAUUACAGAUAUAGAUAUAAUUAACUCUUCUUAGUUUUACAAAACUCACUUUAAUAUCUAUCUUUUCAAAAUGUCUCUCUGUUUAAUUUUUUUCAGCAAAACAUUUCCUUGAAUUCUUAGUGUUAGUGGAAAACAUAGUUAAAAAAGAGUAGAGUGAAUGGCAGGUUGUAAGGUAGUACUAAAUAAAGAUUUUAUAAAGUUAAACACUAAAUUAAUCCGGACCUAAUCAUAAUCUCAAAAACAAGUGACGGUUUACUCAAGUUAUUCUCUUUUUAUAACAUAUUUUCUUAGAACUCUUUUUUUAAUCUAUUUUCUUCAUGACCCUCAUUUUGUCUGACAUUUACAUUUCCCUUUGUUUUCUUCGCAUCUCUCUACUGCUAUAAAACACGAACAGAAAGUACUGUUCAUGAGGAAUUUUUUUUAAAGAAAUAGCAUUUUCGUAUAUUAUUUUUCUCUACUUUAAUUCAAUUUUAUUUUUAUUUUUUUAUCAAUUUUCGCUAUUCAUUUCUCUUCCAGAUAAACCAAACUCUGCCUUCAAAGUUGGACACCGCAAUUCGCAAAUGUAUACAUAUCACACAAUAACCGAAAGCUAAUCCACCCAUCACUUUAUAAAUACAUCAACAAGCAUGGAUACUACUGAUAAGAACAAAGAAGAUUAAAGACAAAUUAAAAAGUAUGGUGGCGAAGAACACAAAUACAAAAUCAGUACUAAUUUAAUUUCCUCCAUUCCAAGGGUUCCCACCAUAUCAACAAUCACCCUUUCCAAUAUUCCAAAAUCACGUCACAAUGUAGUGAUUCGAGUCUAUCCAAGAAAAAACGCACAAAAAGAUCAAUGUAAAAAAGGGUAAAGCGAGUGGGACUUACCCAAUAACACAACUAAAACAUUACUGGAUCAUCAUCAUGAGUAUAUACUAUAUAAUAUACCAAUACUGCUAUAUAUAUAUGAUGACAAAGUUCUUGACUUGAGAUUAGAUUAGGAUUUAGGAGCAAGCCUGAUUAGCCAACAAGAAGUUAUUGGCUUGAGAAGCAGCUUCAGCGUGUGAAACCAGCGCUUUUAUGAGCAAAGUCUUAACCUGCCAAGGCUUGAAAGGGAAACCCUCUCUGGCAUAAGAGUUAAGCAACGCUGCGGUUCCCUCUUUGACCAAUCCUCCGAAAGGGUUACUCUCCUCGUCGUUCCUCGCAGUUGCUUCCAACAAUGUCAGAUCCGAUCUGUACCGUUCGUACACUCUUGAACCGAACACGUUCGACACCGUCGAUGUCUCCGGCACCAUCCUCGGCCACGCCUCCCUCCUCCCGCUCCAAAACCUAACCACAUCGAUUAGAAAUAAUGUCAAAAUAAAAUAUAUAAAUAUGAGACAAUUCUCACUCUAUAAACCAACUUUAUAGAGUAGAGUUAAGUCAACGACAUCGUAAGAAACAGAAACAUAUGGUGACAUCAUUAACAAGGGAAUAGAAGUAUGUUUCUUACUGUGCCGUGCAUCUGCCUCUGCUCCGAGUGUAGAGGAAGCCGGGUAUACCAUGUCUCUCUGCCUCUGCAACAAAGUGGGAAGAUAAGGUUAGGAGGAGGAGGAGACAAAAGAGAAGCGUGGUGCACAGUGAAGCCAUUCUUGUCUUCUUCUUCUUCUUCUAACUCUGCUGGUUUUUUCAGCUUGUUUGCUAAAGAAAAUAAAUUUAUGUGGUGAGAGGGAUCUGAGCACUCUGAUAUUUCUUCGGAUUUGGUCUAUGCUAGUUUGAACGUUACACUUGCACUGUGGAUCUCUGCUUUCGAGGAACACGUGAGGUCGUUUCGAAUUCGACAGUGGGAUCAAGACAAAGUUACCCUUACUAGUUAGACUAAGCUUAUUCUUCAAAUAAAUUUUAAAUCUUCCGGUAAUAAAUUCUUUCAUUUAUUUAAAAACAAAUGUUUAAGACAUUAAUAAUCAGUUUUGUUUAAACUUACUUAUUAAAAUAAAUAAUCAGUUUUUGUUUUUAAAAAAAUAUUCAUAUAAAAAAUAUUUAUUUCAAAAUUAUUUUUUUUAGUUUAAGCAAACUCGUCCUACAUAUAUUUCUAUAGAAAAGGGAAAUUAUCAACCGCCUGUGAUAAAAUAUAUAUAUAUAUAUAUAUAUAUAUAUAUAUAUAUAUAUAUAUAUAUAUAUAUAUAUUAUUGUUCAUUUCUCUAUCUCUAUUUUAAUAAAAAUAUUUUUACUUAUUCGUUUGAUUAAAUAUUUAAAAUAAUAUUAAUAUUGUUUCUGUAAGUUCUUGUGUUUUUACAUAUUUUAAGACAAUAUAGUAAUAAAGUUAAAAUAAUUUUAAUAUAACUAAAAUAUAAAGUCAAAUUUCUUAAUCUAACAAACAAACAAAAAACGUUAAGACUAAGUCCAACCAUGGCUUAUUUUUUUGGAAAAAUGACCUAAAAAUAUUUGAAGUUUAUGGUGGCUGCCCACCCACAUUCAAACCAAAUGUACUCCUAUCAGUUCGCUUUAAGAUUGGGACUCCACCUAGAUAAAUACCGGUAAUUGCCAUUUGCAUUAUCUUUUUUAUUUAUACUUUUUUCUUUUCAUUUUUUAAAAAAUAACCUUUUUUCUUUCUUUCUAAAAGUACCCUUUUCCAAAUAGAUAGGUUGUAAAUUAAGUGAAAACGGAGCGUUAUGUACUUAUAUCAACGAUGACUACAUGACAAAUGUGAAAAUAACAUCACUAGGGUUUACAAUAUUUUGUUGUCUCAGACUCAAGGUUUUUCUUAUUUAAGUUUGGCAUGUUUCAACAAUGAGUCUCAAAUGAGUCCAACAUAAUUUUUUUCUUUGACCAUAAUAUAUUUGACAUUGUGCUGUAAAUAUAAUUACAAGUUUUAAACUUUGAAGGAGCCAAACCCACCACAGAAGACUGCUAAUUUACAAGACAAACAAGUAGCACUAUCGGUAUGAAUUAACUAGAGAUUAUAGUUGGAUAAUCUGACAAGGCAAUUGAAAGUCACCGAAAAAUUAGAAUUGUGUUGUAUAGAGCCUUCAAUUGUAUCUGUCAUCAAACUCCAAGCUUAAAUAGGGGAGCAAAACUAGAUAUUGGGAAAGUAGAAAGAAGGUUAGAGGAAUGCCUUAUCCAUGUCUAUGUAAUGAUAAAACCACAAUCAACACAACAUAUUAACUUAAGAUCCCAAUAUGAAAACAAGAACCUGUAAAAUGUCAUACCAUUUCUUAAGAACCGGAUAUAAAAAAAUAUGACUUCUCAAUGUAAUUUUUAAAAUAUACUAUUGUUGAAAUUUCUCUCAACUGCAAUCCUGGCGUAUAGUUGGUUGUCAAAUCACCCUAUUUAUUCACUUCUGAAGGAAAUAAGCAUUUCACCUAUUUGUCAUGUGUGUGACAGAGGCCACACUGUUUGCGUUCAUGCUCCAGUGUGGCACGUAAAUGUCACUCUGUAAAACCAGACAAUUAAUUAACACCCUAACAAAAACUAAUAAUACCAAAGAUGAAUAAAAAAAAUUCAAUUUUCAAAGAAUAUAUAUUUGUGUGACCUUGUAAAGUUUAACCAAUUGGGCGCUGAGACGGAGCAAUUUGAGAACUGGGAGGGUUAAGCUGUUGAUGGCGCGCAGUCGACCGGCUCUUGGGUUGAAUAUGUCUGCGUGUGAAGGGUCAGCGAUAUUCUCGUGUAGCUUCAAAGUGCACAAGCUUUCUUCCAACACAUUACUACCUUCACCACGUUCCUUAUAUCUCUCUCGUGAUUCUUCUUUUCCAUCUUGUUGUCCUUUAUGUUCAUGCCACUCGCGGCGAAGGUAGUAAUGUGUUCUAGUUUUCUCUUCGCAUUCUCCACAUCCCUCGUGUUCUCCUUUGAGGUGCUUGCGCUUUCUGAUUUCUUUUUCUUCUACCACCUCUUCUUUCUUCUCGGGUCUUGGGUUUUUCUUCUACUUUGCUUCUCUAAUUUCGUGUUCCAAGGGUGGCCUGAUAAUUCUAAGACCUCUUUCCACCUUUAUGAUUUGGUCCCCUGCAUGUGACUGAAGCUUCUUUGUGAUCCCCACCUUCACGUUGGAUGCUUCUGCCAAGAAACGUGGAUCGAAGCCACCGAACAUGUUUCUAUUGUUACCUUCUUCUUGCUUGCACCCACCACUACCAGGGUGCUCUUCUUUUGGGUUCCCAGGAAGAUAACUCUGCAACAUGCCACCAAAUUAAACGAGUAUAAUAAUAAAAAAAAGGUUUAAUAUGCAUCACGAAAUAUAUGAUGACCAUGUUAAGUUUGUUGGGUUUUUUUGGACUGGGUUUUUUUGGACUCCUUUCUAAUAUGGAGUAAAAGUCCAAAAUGAGAAGAGAAUAUAUUUCACUUAUUUAAAUUGAGAGGAGUUAGAUUAAAAAGAGAUAUAGUGAGAGAAACUCUUUUAAAAAAGAAAAAUAAUUACAAAUUAUUAAGAGAGAAAGAAUAAAAUGAAAAAUUAUUGUGAUGGGAUCAAGAAAAACAUUCUGAUCGAAAAAAAGAUAUCUAUAGAAAGAUAUUAGUGUUUGGUAUUGUACUCUUUAUAUUUUAGAGUUUUAUCUUCUUGUCUCUAUUAUUAAUUGUGGGGUUUGUUUUGAUUUGAUUAUUUGUAACAUAUUAGUAUAUUUAUUGGAGGUUCUCUUGUAUCUUUAUUGAUUAUAAUGAAAUUAUUUAUUUGAUCUGAUUUUUAUUCUUAUAUUGAGAAAUUUUUCAUGUUAAACAAAUUAUAUUUCUAUUUUUUUUUUAUUUUAUUCUUUAUGUUUCUCACAUAUCCUUAUAAGUUUAGAAGAAUUUAUUUAUGUUUUUUAUUAGUUGUUAUAGAGUUUGUUGUUGUGUUGGUGUAUUUCUGCGUUAAAGUUGACAAUGAAUUUCUUACUCUGGCAACUCGAUCAAGCUGGUUUGCCGAAUUGGCAGUGUGAAGGAGUUACAACAAGGGAAACAUUUGCGUAGUUGUAGGUCCAGUAAGGAAUUCCAGGUGGAACAGCGAAUAUGUCACCCUGCCUCAGGUAACGAACCUUCUGGUGGCGAUCAUGUUCCUGUUCCUGCUCAUGCUCACUCUCCGGUUGUGGCUCUUCAUAAGUCUCGUCACAACCAGGAAUUACAAUUCCCAACACUCCCUCUCCUAUGGAAAUAAUUAAGUUGAUGGAUAAGAAGACUAAUAAAUUGAUGAGGAGGAAUGGAUUGUGUUGUGUGCAUAUAUAUCAAGUUGUUGAACAACCUUGGAGUACGAAAUGGAGUUCGGGGUAAUUAACGUAGGAUGGCAAGUGAAGGCAUUGGGGUUGAUAAAAGCAACGCCAGUGCAACAUAGCUCAUGUUGGGAAUUGAGGGGAGUAAUCAAUCACAUAAGGGAAUCGCAAACACACACUUUAACCUAAAAUCAUAAACCUCAUGUUGGUAAGUCUUUUUUCGGGUGUUUAAUUUUUUCAUUUUCACACUUGUAUUUUAAGAUAUGAUGCCACCUUGGGAUUCGAUGGGAUUGUGAGGGUUCAGUGCAUGGAUGAUAUCGAGUUGGGACUGCUGCUUGAACUGGCAUUGAUCACGAGCUAAGCACCUGCACGUGAACUAGAGCAGAAAGCAGAGGAGCGCAGAAUGCUUGAGCAUACUGAACUGAACAGUAGUUGCGAGGGAUAUAGCUAGCAAAGGAGGAAUUGCUACGUGCUGAUUAAUUUAUAGAUUAGAGAGACACGUCACUGGACCCUGCAUGUAUUCCAAACCCUGAUUUCUUACCCCUUAUCAACUUUAUUGGCCUUGCGGUGCCUCUUCACAGAAUCAUCCAACAAUCACCCAAAUUCUUUUUCUGUUUCCUCAUUCAUAAUUAAUUUCUGCUACCUUAACCUGUGCUUUAUCAAGACCAACGAAAUUUAGAUAUCUUCUGAGCCCUACCUAGUACCUACUGUUUCUAUGCUCUAUAUCUUGUAACUGUGCAAGAUAAUAGUGUAUAUUGUUCCUUUUUAAUUGGUAUUUUGAGCCUCUAGCGUAUUUAUCCUGGCCAUCUCAUUUAGCCUUAAAAAAAAAUUUAAUAUGGUUUAGAAACAUAAAGUGCAUGUCGAUCCCUUUAUAUUAUAGGCUUAGACUCAUUUUCCUAGUAGUAAUUUAUUUAGUUAUAAAAAAAAUAGCGUAACUCAUAAAUUUUUACAUGUAUAAUUUCAUUCUUGAUAAUAAAAUAUUUAAUCAUAAAUUUCAUCACUUUAAAAUUAAAUUUAAUUAAAAUUAAUUUUAUUAAUAUUCAUUCCAAACAUGUACAUGUAAAUUUUAGAUAUCUAUUAUUUGAUUUAUUUUUCCUUUUUUAAGAUUGUGUACGUACAUUAAUUGUUGGAUAGAAUCGAGUUUCACAUACAUGCAUUCAUGUCUAUCUAAACUAAGUAGGAAUGUAGGUACUGAAUAAAGACAGCUGUUGUUAAAUGAAUAGAUAUGUCGUGUCUCCAUUCUUCCGAGUGAAUGCCCAUAAGAUCCAAAUUACUUAAACCUUUGUUUGGGCAGGUGGCUGUGAACUAUAGUCCAUCAAAUAUGCUAUUCAACACUCAGGAAGUGAAAAAGAAAAAAAAUAUAGAUGUAAUAAAUUUUAUAAUGUAAUAUUAAAAUAAAAAUAAAAAUAAAUAUAAAAUGCUAAACAUUUUUAAAAAAUACAAAAUGUUAAUGCGAUAUUUAACAUAGAUUAAUAUUUUCAGUGGCUCAAUUUCUUUUUUAUCUGUAUCUCUUCUCUUGAACUUGAGAUCUAUAUUUUGCUGCAGACGAUGACAUGGAGCCCGAAGAAAAGUACCACAAGCAAUUACGUAUACAAACGCAUAUGAAACCGAUUAAUUAAGGUUCUUACAAAUAAAUUAGAGCAAAUAGUCUGGGACACUUUGUUUUUCAUGAACUCAUAUAUAUAUAUAUAUAUAUAUAUAUAUAUAUAUCAAAAGCACAAAUUUUCUUUUAAGUUUACAUACUCAUAUGUAAAAUUGAGCUUAAGUGAAAAGAAAAAACAAACGAUAUAUAGUUAUUGAGGAUCAAAUUUGUGUUAUGUCACAAAAUUCUACAAUAAAAACCACUUAUUUAUCUAUCUGUAUCUAUUAUACAAAUAUUUUGCGUUUCUAUUUAUGAAUUUAUUUAUCAAUAUCUGCAGGUAUAAUUGCAUUUUACGAAGACUUAUUUACAAGAAAAUAAAUGUAUACACUAUUUAUAUUACACUAUUGUUAUACUAUUUUUUAAAAUAAUAUAAUAACACAUUUUAAUUAAAACACAUAUUUUACUUUUACCUUUUUUAAAUUAAAAAAAAAUGAUAACUAUAUUUGUAAAAUCAGAAAAAUGUAAAAAUAAUGGAAAUAUUUAAUGUAAAAAAUAUUGAUUUCCUUAUGGAAAAAUUAAAAUCGACUAAUUGGCAUGAAUAAUAAUUAUUAUUAUUAUUAUUAUAUAUAUAUAUAUAUAUGAUAACAAUAUUAUUAAUAUUGUUAUAUGUAUCUAAAAAAAAAAAGAAAAAACUCUCUUUCUUGGGGGUGUGACACUUUCAAUUUUAGUCUUUCAUGCUCAUCAUGUCCUGCAAUCGCUUCCCAAAGAUAUCAUCGGUCAAGCUACUAUCUCUUAGACCAAUUGUUAUCAACAAUAUUUCCUUAUUUUGUUCUGCAAGAAGGAUAGAAAAGAAUAAAAAGAAAAGAAAAGAGAUUGGACAGAAAAUUUAUUGGAAUUUCUUCUUUUAUUUAUGCUUUUCCCGCAUAGGUACUUGAGUGACUCAUUACACAAGGGUACAUAGUUACUAUACCCGUUAUUCUACACUUAACAAAGGGCAUCUAAGCCUUUGUUUCUUUUAUUCAUUCUUAUUUACUGCUACCAGCACUAGCUAGAGCCCAAAAGGACAAAAGUGUGGUAGCACAUGCAAAAAGGGCUCUCUAAGCCACAGCUCUCCUCUGAGACUCCUGAGGUGGAACCAGGAAGCUGAAAGGGUUGUUGUUCUUCACCUGCCUGGCCUGCUGGCUCUUUAGGUUAAAAGUGUGCUGAAUCACUUCCUCUGGCAAUGCGUUCAACAAUGAGUUUGCCCCUGCAAGGUUUCCGAUCGAGGGUCUAUCAUUGGUCUUGAAUGACACAUACUCAAAGUUAUCGCUCUGGGAUUUUGCAGCCACCGCAAAGUUUUGUGGAACGAUCAGCACCCCUCCCUCUUGCAGCUCUCCAUCAAACACUCUCUCACCAUUGCAAUUCACCACUUGUACCAAUGCCCGCCCAUUCAAUGCGUAUAUUAUGCUGUUCGCGUUCAGGGUGUAGUGUGGCACGAACAUAGCAUUCUGCACCAUACAUCAAUAUCCAUGCAAGUGUACGUUAAUCACAACAUGUUAUUCAUCCAAUAUUUUUAUAAUAUUAUUAUUUUCCUUUUAUCUUUUCAUCAUGAUAUUAAUUAAUUAUCUCACUAUCUUAUACCUUUUCUUCCUAAUCCUAUGGAAAUUAUUAUCAGGUAUUUUAUCACAUGUCAAUAUAUAGUCUCAUAGAAAAAUAUGUUUUUGUGAAUCAGAAUAUUUUUGGCACAAAAAUAUUUUUCUUUUUUUUUAAUCAAAGUAUUUUUUGGUUAAAAGUCAAAAACAAAUUUUUCAAGGUUGAAAAAAAUUUCAUACUCAUGAGUCAUAUAUCUAAAGGACAAAAUUAUCUACUAAUUGUAUCACAUGUAACAAAAAUUAAUAACACAUGCAUAAUUACAUCUCAUGCAGAGAUUAAUUAGAUUAGUAAAAUCGACACAAGAAACUGUGACUACUUAAUAACUUCGGGCAUUUCUAUAUAUAAAAAAAAAGCACAUGAAUAAUGCAUAUGCAAGUGCUAAGAUAACUUUGUCGUCACACAUUUUAAUUACUAUAUAUAACUAUUACCAUUUUUUAACAUUUGUUGAGCUUAAUUUAUAACAUGUAUGAUGUACGUACCUUGCGGAGUGAUCCAUACUGGGCACUGAGUUUGAGAAGCCAGAGGGCUGGGAAGUCAAGGCUGGUGGCGGUUGUGAUGCUACCAGCUUGAGGGUUGUAGAUGUCAGGUGAUGAAUUCUGACCAAUGUUUUGGCGAAGUCUCAUUGUGCAAAUGGUCUCAUCAAUGCCAUUUCUGCUCCUUUUGCUUUGGCGUUGGCAACCUUUGUCUGUCUCCACGCACUGUGGCUGCUCUUCCUCAUCAUCAUCAUCUUCUUCUUGCUGUGGCUUCCUCAUGGCUGGAGCUGUGACUCUUAGACCUCCUUUCACUGUCACAAUGGCUCCACUAUCCUCCUCUUCGUUCUCACCUUGUAGGUUUCUCACUAUCUGCAUGUUCACGCCGAACGCUUCUUUCAAGAAUUCAGGGGCGAAGCCACUCAAUAUGUUGCUUCCUUCGUUUUCUUCUUCUUGUUGCUUUCCUUUCUGGCUUUGGGAACCUCCUUGCUGCUGCUGCUGAUAUUUUAGAAACUCUUGCUCUUGGUUCCCAGCAAGAUAGAAUCUCUGCCAAGAAUUGUCAAAACAAAUAGUUGUCAAUCCGUAACCAGCUAGUAUUAGAACUUAAGAAUUCUAAUCUUAACGUUACAAUGUAGUCCAGUUUCCUUUUUUUAUCAGCUACAAUAUUGUCCAUGUAUUUCAAGACAAGAACCAAAUUGGAUAAAAAAACACAACUAUAAGGAUCCAAUUGGCAUAUUUUAAUCUAUAGGUACUAAAUUAGAAAGUGCAACUCCACGAACUAAAAUGAUAUUUAAACCUUUAAAGAAUUAUAAUAUCUAAUAUUGCUAUGUGGCUCACCCUAGGCAUCUGGUCGAGCUGGUUCUCCAAGCUGUUGGUGUCAAUAAUAGAAACGGCAACAACAGGAGUGUCUUCAUUGUUGUACAUCCACCAUGCAACACCAGUAGGCACUGCGAUCAAAUCACCCUCUCUGAAGCGAUGUACCUUUUGGUGACGGUCUUGGGGCCUCUGGCUUCGUCCUCGUUGCUGAGAUUCUUGCGGCUCUUGAUAAGUGCUAGGACAACCCGGGAAUAUCAUGCCAAAAAUACCAUUACCUAUUCAUAUAUAUUACACAACAACACAAAGAAAAAAAAAACAUUAGCAUAACCAUUUUCUUUUCAAAAUGCAUGGUUUCACAAAACUGAGAAAUUGAAACAAGUUAUUAUUAAUUUGAAUAUAUAAGAUAGGUUGGACGGUUAAGAAGAAAAACAAAAGCCACAGUUUCAAUCAAUUUUACUAACAAAAACUAACCAUUAACAUCUGAUAAAAAAAAAAUUAAACAAGAUUAUGGACCUUGUUGUAUGUAGAUUUCCUGGGGACCGUUGGUGUAGGAAGGUCUACGAAGGGCAUUGCGGUUAAGGGUGCAGCGAGAGAGGGCAACACCGGCACACUGGAAUGGCUUGUUGUUAGGGUUCCAGGUCUCAAUGAACCCACCUUCCGACUCUAUACGGUUAUCCGGUUUGAGGGCAUUCAGCUUUUGGAUCUGGCACUCAUUUUGCUGUGCCUGCUCUCUCAGAGCGAAGCAGCCACUGAAAAGAAGGAAACAAAGGGAAAGAACAAGCUUGGCCAUGGUGAUGAGUGUUCAAAGACAAUGGAGAGAAUGUUUGUGUUGUGAAGCGGAGAACCUGAGGCGUGGUUAUUUAUAGGGAAGAGAGGAAGGUGGGUGAGGGACACGUCACAGGAGUGGGGUGCUGAGCUUGAGACAUUCUUCAGUAUGCAUGGCUAUGGAAGCCUUGUGUGUUACACCUCAUUAAGUUCAUGGGUGUGAGGUGGCUUCGACAGUUCGACAUCAACAUUAUGUGACAAAUACCAAGUGUGUUUGUAUUGCAUGCAAUUGCCAGAAAACGGUGGUGGAGAGGGGGACCAUGGUUUCAUUUCAUGUUCGCGGGUUUAUGACAUAUGAAAUUAUAUGAAUACACCGUGUGACAAUGAUGGGAUCCUCAAAGUGAGAAGAAGGGCCGUCCAAAAAUGACCUCACUCUAGGGAUAGAGAAAUUAUUAGGUGUUAUGAAAUUAUCACUAUUCAUGGUUUUGACAGAUCUUUAUGUGAUACUAGUUACUCAAUUUUUUUUAAUUUAAUUAGGAAAUAAUUAAUCAUACUUUAAUUUACAUAUCAUAAAGAUUAGUGGAGAAUAAUUUGUACUGUAUAUAUAAUAAUUUCUUGGAUAGAGAAAUUAUAUAUUAGGGACAUUUUGUUUUUUGGAUUAUCCUCGUUUUGAUUGUCAAUAUAAAAAAAAAGUAAGCGAAAAUAAGAAGAAAAUGACUAAGUUUUAAACAAUUAUAUUAGUUAAACAAAAAUACUUAUAUGUUUUAGGUCUAUAAUAAAUAUGAUUAAUUUUAUUUUGAGUUCUAAUUUUAAUUUUUUUUUCUUUGUAUUGGAUUCUUAUAUCUUAAAAAAUUUAUUUUGACUCUUUAUCAUAGGUAGGUUAGUAAUGACAUAUCAAUCAAUUAACAAAUUACAAAGUCAGAGUUUAAAAACUGUGGGUAUUUCUGAUAGAAAAUAAUCUGGAUUGUCUCUAACUCAUUAGCCUCUCGAUUUUGUCAGGUUCGGGCUUAGUGAAUGCAACGGAUUCUUGGGUGUGUUCCAAUCUGCGUUGUGGCUUGGUUUCUUUUGCGGCCUCAAACACUUUCUUCUUCUCCGGAGGAAGUUUUUUAAACCCUCAUCCGAAUAAAGUAACCCCAUGUAAGCAAUUUUUAAACCCGUAUAGUCCGAAUAAACAAUUUGAAACCGCCCGAUUGUGUCUUUUUAUUUAUUCCUUUAGUGUGGGUUUGGUUCGAGCUUCUCUCGGGUUUAUGCUCAGCCCUAGCUACUACCAUUAUUCAUUUAAAAAAUAAGUUACAAUUUGUGACAGUUUGAAAGCUGUCAGAAUCAAUUAAAACAAAAAAAAUUAAAAAAUUAAAUGUAUUUUGAUCCUCCUAUUUUAUCAAAUCCAUAAAUUUGGUUUUUUAGUUUUAAGAUUUUAAAAUUGAGACCGUUAAUUCCUCUCUUUUCUAAAAUCAGGAAAUUAAAUUUUUCUGUCAAAUUAGUUGUGUUGACCAAAUGUUGACUGUUAAAAUUUUCUUUCUUCUUUUUCCUUUUGCUUUCACAUAAACCUCAGUCUUAUUUGUUCAAGGAAUUAUGCACAUUUUGUGCCCACUGUCCAUGGCUGCCAAAAGUUUCUUGGUUAUUCGAGUCAAUUAAUGCAACAAUCUGGAUAGAUUAAUUGUAGUUCUAUGCAAUGAUUAAGAACUAUCAAAGCAUUAAGAACUUGUAGCUCCUCACACACGAGAAAUAAGAAAUGGACAAGAAUGAGAAUGAGGACUCGAGCCUAAAAUUUAAGGCCAUGGACACCAAAUAUACGGGAAUGAUUGCACAUUUUGCAGGAAAUAAGUAGUGAGCCACAAACAUAAUUCCAUUUAUUCAAAGAAUAGUUAAGUUAUCAUCUUUAUAUAUUUUAAACACUUAAAUUAGCACCUUUACAUUAAAAGAACGCACACUAAUAUUAUUAAAAAAAGUAUUCAUCAUUUUGUAGGCCAACUUAAAAUAUAAUAUAUUAUAUAUAUAUAUAUAUAUAUAUAUAUAUAUAUAUAUAUAUAUAUAUAUAUAUAUAUAAUAUUAAAAUACUUAAUGUUUCUCACCUUUUUUAUGUUUGUUAUCAUAUAAAAAAACAUAGAUGAAUUUUAAAAAGUAAAUUAUUUACCAUCAAUUUAUAUAUUUGUUAAGCUACACAUAUUUUUUUAUUAGAGUUCUUUUUUUGUGUGUGUAAAAAUAUAUGUGAUGUCCUGUCAUUCUAUGUUUUACACAUUAGCUAUGCGAGAGUGUCUGUGCUCAUAUUGUGUCUGAUGUCCAUGUCGAAUUUCAAGCUUCAAAAUAUCAACUAACUAACUUGUGAGUCAAAUUACCGAUUGGGGGUAAUUUUUUUUAAAAUUUAUCAUUUGAGGAUAGAUUUUAAAUUAAUAUUCGUUUAAGGUUUAUGAAUUGAAAGUCAUGAAAAUGAAAUUAAUAUUUCUUGAAACCAAUAUCUAUUUAGUGUGGACAAUGGACAUCAAGACAUCAUAUGCAACACCAUCCUUGACUCUGUUGAAAAUUAAAAUCCCAGAAAAACACAUUUUUUAGCUCCCAUGUUAAAUUUGGAGCGAUGUUUUAUGUUUGAAGACACAAAGCACAAUGGUCCAAAUACUCUCGAACUUUCCAAGUUGGGUUGAGCUCCAAGUCAUGAAGAACCUGAUAAGACGUCUUCAUUCUUAAAGUUAAUCUUCAACUAUUGGGUCUGCAAUACUUUCAAUUUUAGUCUUCUACAUCAUGUCCUGUCCUGCCAACACUUCCUAAAGAUAUCAUCGAUCAAGCUAACUAUCAUUGGACCAAUCGUUAUUGUUUGCCUUUUGUUUUGCAAGAAGCUCAGAAGAAAGAAAAAAAAAAGAGAGAGAGAGAGAGACAAAAGAAGAUUUGACAGAAAACUCAUUGGAAUUUCUCCUUUUAUUCCCGCAAAAGUUUCGUGACUCAUUAUAGAGAGUACUUACAUUAUUAUUUUACAGUGAACAAAAGGCAAGCUAAAGCCUUUGUUUUCUUAUUCAUUAUUAUUAUUAUUAUUUAUUGGUUGCUAGCACUAUUGCCAAAAAGACAAAAGUGGGGUAGCACAUACAAAAAGGGCUCUAAGCCACAGCUCUCUUCUGAGACUCCUGAGGUGGAACCAGGAACUUGAAAGGGUUGUUGUUCUUUAUCUGCCUGGCCUGCUGGCUUUUUAGGUUGAAAGUGUGCUGAAUCACUUCCUCUGGUAAUGCGUUCAACAAUGAGUUUGCCCCUGCAAGAGUGCCGAUCAUGGGUGUAUCAUUGGUCUUGAAUGACACAUACUCGAAGUUGUCACUCUGUGAUCUUGCAGCCACCACAAAGUUUUGUGGCACGAUCAGCACCCGUCCCUCUUGCAGCUCUCCAUCAAACACUCUCUCACCGUUGCAAUUCACCACUUGUAUCAAUGCCCGUCCAUUCAAUGCGUAUAUUAUGCUGUUCGCGUUCAGGUUGUAGUGUGGCACGAACAUUGCAUUCUGCAUCGUACAUCAAUGCAUGCAAGAGUCACAACAAAUUCAUCCAAUAUUUUUAUAAUAAUACUAUUUUUUGUUUUGCUUUUUUCAUCAAUCUUUUCUUUUUUUUUCUCUCUAUUUCUAUAUAUAAAGACAGAAAAGAUAGAAUCCAUGCAAGUGUUAAGAUAACUCCGUCACACAUUUUAUAGUGUAUCUAAGAUUAUUAUUAAUCAAUAAAUCAUUAGUCUAAGUAUAAAUAAUGUAAUUAAGAUGAAAGACUCCAUUAAAAGUGAUCAAACAAAUUUUCUAAAAAAAUUAAUUAUCAAUAAAAUUAAUAAAUAUUUGGCAACAAAUAUUAGUUUAAUGUAUAAAUGUAUGUUGAUCUUUGAUGAAUGAUGUACGUACCUUGCGGAGAGAUCCAAACUCAGCACUGAGUCUGAGCCACGAGAGGGCUGGGAAGUCAAGGCUGGUGGCGGUUGUGACGCUACCGGCUUGAGGGUUGUAGAUGUCAGGUGAUGAAGUCUGGCCAAUGUUGUGGCGAAGUCUCAUGGUGCAUAUGGUCUCGUCAAUGCCAUUUCUUCUGCUUUUGCUUUGGCUUCCUCGGGGGCGUUGGCAGUGUUUGUCUUUACCCUUGCACUGUGGCUUCUCAUCCUCUUCUUCUUCUUCCUCUUCCUGGGGUCUUUGUUGCUGCUCGUCCGUGGGUGGUUUUAUCACGCUCAGACCUCCUUUCACUGUCACAAUGGCUCCCUUGUCUUCCCCUUCGUUCUCUCCUUGUAGGUUUUUCGCUAUCUGCUUGUCCACGCUGAAUGCAUGUUCCAAGAAUUCCAGGGUGAAGCCACUCAAUAUGCUGCCUCCUUCGUUUUCUUCUUCUUGCUGAUGCUUUCCUUUCUGGCUUUGAUGACCUCCUUGCUCUUGCUGAUAUUUUAGAAACUCUUGCUCUUGGUUCCCAGCAAGAUAGAAUCUCUGCCAAGAAUUGUCAAAACAAAUAGUUGUCAAUCUGUAACCAGCUAGUAUUAGAACUUAAGAAUUCUAAUCUUAACGUUACAAUGUAGUCCAGUUUCCUUUUUUUAUCAGCUACAAUAUUGUCCAUUUAUUUCAAGACAAGAACCAAAUUGGAUAAAAAAACACAACUAUAAGGAUUCAAUUGGCAUAUUUUAAUCUAUAGGUACUAAAUUAGAAAGUGCAACUCCACGAACUAAAAUGAUAUUUAAACCUUUAAAGAAUUAUAAUAUCUAAUAUUGCUAUGUGGCUCACCCUAGGCAUCUGGUCGAGCUGGUUCUCCAAGCUGUUGGUGUCAAUAAUAGAAACGGCAACAACAGGAGUGUCUUCAUUGUUGUACAUCCACCAUGCAACACCAGUAGGCACUGCGAUCAAAUCACCCUCUCUGAAGUUAUAGAUCUUCUGGUGACGGUCUUGUGGUCUGCUGCUUUGUCCUCUUUGUUGAGGUUGUUGAGGCUCUUCAAAUGUGCUAGGACAACCCGGGUAUAUCAUGCCAAAAAUACCCUUACCUAUUCAUAUUACAAAACAACAAACAAACAAAAAUUAGGAACCCAACAUUAUCAAUGAUAUGAUUAUGUUACGUCAUAUGGAAGAAAUCAAAACAAAAAUUUUAAUAUAUAAAAACUCAAAACAAAAAAAAUUAUUAAAAAUCUAAAAUAAAAUUCCCUCAUUUAUCAAACCCUUAAACAUAUUUAAGUCUAUUAUAUAUUUAUAUGUGAAGUUUGGACAAGAUGGACCUUGUUGGAUGUAGAUUUCCUGGGGACCGUUGGUGUAGGAAGGUCUACGAAGGGCGUUGCGGUUGAGGGUGCAGCGAGAGAGGGCAACACCGGCACACUGGAAUGGCUUGUUGUUAGGGUUCCAUGUCUCAAUGAGCCCUCCUUCUGACUCUAUACGGUUAUCCGGUUUGAGGGCAUUGAGUUUUUGGAUCUGGCACUCGUUUUGCUGAGGCUGCUCUCUGGAACUGAAAGCGAAGCAGCAGCCACUGAAAAGCAGAAAACAAAGGGAAAAAACUAGCUUGGCCAUGGUGAUGACUGAUGAGUGUUUAAGGACCAAUGGAGAGAAUGUUUGAGUUGUGAAGCGGAGAACCUGAGGCGUGGUUAUUUAUAGGGAAGAGAGGAAGGUGAAUGAGGGACACGUCACAGAAGUAGGGUGCUGAGCUUGAGACAUUCUUCAGUAUGCAUGGCUAUGGAAGCCUUGGGUGCUACACCUCAUGAAGUUCAUGGUGUGAGGUGGCUUCGGCAUCUCAAUUAAGUGACAAAGAGAAAGGUGUUUCAGUGUUUCUAUUGCAAAUGGCAGAAACUCGUGAUGACGAGGGGA